rnacentral:rRNA from 1 species
UACGUAGGGUGCAAGCGUUGUCCGGAAUUAUUGGGCGUAAAGAGCUCGUAGGCGGUUCGUCGCGUCGGCUGUGAAAACCUGAGGCUCAACCUCAGGCCUGCAGUCGAUACGGGCGGACUUGAGUACUGCAGGGGAGACUGGAAUUCCUGGUGUAGCGGUGAAAUGCGCAGAUAUCAGGAGGAACACCGGUGGCGAAGGCGGGUCUCUGGGCCGUUACUGACACUGAGGAGCGAAAGCGUGGGGAGCGAACAGG